rnacentral:tRNA from 1 species
AUUAGAAGUAAAAUUUACAAUUAGUUUCGACCUAAUAUUUGAUAUACAUUAUCCUAAUU